rnacentral:rRNA from 1 species
UACGAAGGGGGCUAGCGUUGUUCGGAAUUACUGGGCGUAAAGCGCGUGUAGGCGGGUCUUUAAGUCAGGGGUGAAAUGCCAAGGCUCAACCUUGGAACUGCCUUUGAUACUGGAGAGCUCGAGUCCGGGAGAGGUGAGUGGAACUGCGAGUGUAGAGGUGAAAUUCGUAGAUAUUCGCAAGAACACCAGUGGCGAAGGCGGCUCACUGGCCCGGUACUGACGCUGAGGUGCGAAAGCGUGGGGAGCGAUCCGG